AUGAGGUAAAUGUGCCAAUGAUGUUUUGGAUGCUGGAUCUCUGACCAAAACUAGAAGCAAGCAAUGCUGGUGUAGCUGGAUGUUACCACAGCAGAAAGAGGCAGAGUUGUGCUGCUGGCUGGCAGACCUCCUCCAGAAGGC